rnacentral:rRNA from 1 species
UACAGAGGGUGCGAGCGUUAAUCGGAAUUACUGGGCGUAAAGCGUGCGUAGACGGUUAUCUAAGUCGGAUGUGAAAGCCCCGGGCUCAACCUGGGAAUUGCAUUCGAGACUGAAUAGCUAGGGUACGGUAGAGGGAAGUGGAAUUUCCGGUGUAGCGGUGAAAUGCGUAGAUAUCAGGAGGAACACCGGUGGCGAAGGCGGGUCUCUGGGCCGAUACUGACGCUGAGGAGCGAAAGCGUGGGGAGCGAACAGG